GUCUCUCCGGACCGCAUGCCAACGCUCCAACCGCUGAGCCAAACAGGCCAGGGCCAGAUGUAUGUUUUAGAUGGAUUACUCUGGCAGCACGACAGUAGAAGAGAUGAUAUUGAUUUAAGGAGUAAAUCUGGUGAUGAGAAUUUAAUGUUUGACUUGCUGUCGAUGAAGGGAGAGGAAGGAGUCUGGACAACCUGUGGGUUUCUGGCUGGGUGACUGGGAGAAUGGUGAGGUGCUGAGACAAGAGAGAUACAGAUCAGGAUGAAUGGAAGCAGGAGAAAAAACUGUUCUGAGUCAGUCUUUCCUGUAAAGCAGCCAAAUGAGUGUAAGAGUUGGAUGUAGACAUGUGAAAAUCACCAACACAGCUGGAAAUUUAAAUAACAAGAACUUCUGAACUUGACCAGAAAAAAAAAGUGAGGUUGAAGAUAGACAGCAGCAUCCUUAAGUAACAGCAAUGAAGACAGAAAAGGAGACCCAGGUUGGAAGCCGAACAACUUCAGCUUCCAUUUUGAAUGUUACCAAAGCUGAUAGAGGAUUUUCUUUUUUAAAAAAAAUUUUAAAUUAAUUAAUUAAUUUUUGUUACAGAUGUUUCUCCUUUUCUCCCCACUGAUUCCCCCCUCCCCCUGAGUAGAGGAUUUUCAAGACAUGUAUCUCCAAUGACAAACAGUAGCUCAGGGAGAAGAGUGGCGGUGAAACAAACAAUACAACAGUUACCCUCUCAGAAAUAGGCCAAGAAUGGGUUUCAUGGAAAGCUCCUACCCUACUGUGAAUACUUGGUGCCAUCAGCAAAAGAGACACGAACUUACUCACAGAAGUAUCUCAAUUGCAAAUCAAGCAUCUGUGGUCUGCAAACCUAAUUUAGGGCUAGUUGAAACCAUCACUUGCUUCGUCUGUCCAAGAGUCUUGAGGUAUGUCUCUUGGACAGCUAAGGAGGGCUGUUACAGUAGCUGUGUCUGUGAUACUUGUUCUGGAGAAUGGACUUCAUC